rnacentral:rRNA from 1 species
UAAAAAAAGGUAAGCUACUAAGAGCGAAUGGUGGAUGCCUUGACUGGUAAAGGCGAUGAAGGACGUACUAGACUGCGAUAAGCUACGGGGAGCUGUCAAGAAGCUUUGAUCCGUAGAUUUCCGAAUGGGGCAACCCAAUGUAUAGAGAUAUACAUUACCUAUAUAGGAGCGAACGAGGGGAAUUGAAACAUCUUAGUACCCUCAGGAAAAGAAAUCAAUAGAGAUUGCGUCAGUAGCGGCGAGCGAAAGCGCAAGAGGGCAAACCCAGUGCUUGCACUGGGGGUUGUAGGACUGCAAUGUGCAAGAGCUGAGUUUAGCAGAACAUUCUGGAAAGUAUAGCCAUAGAGGGUGAUAGUCCCGUAUGCGAAAAACAAAGCUUAGCUAGCAGUAUCCUGAGUAGGGCGGGACACGAGGAAUCCUGUCUGAAUCCGGGUCGACCACGAUCCAACCCUAAAUACUAAUACCAGAUCGAUAGUGCACAAGUACCGUGAGGGAAAGGUGAAAAGAACUGAGGUGAUCAGAGUGAAAUAGAACCUGAAACCAUUUGCUUACAAUCAUUCAGAGCACUAUGUAGCAAUACAGUGUGAUGGACUGCCUUUUGCAUAAUGAGCCUGCGAGUUGUGGUGUCUGGCAAGGUUAAGCAAACGCGAAGCCGUAGCGAAAGCGAGUCUGAAUAGGGCGCUUAGUCAGAUGCUGCAGACCCGAAACGAAGUGAUCUAUCCAUGAGCAAGUUGAAGCUAGUGUAAGAACUAGUGGAGGACUGAACCCAUAGGCGUUGAAAAGCCCCGGGAUGACUUGUGGAUAGGGGUGAAAGGCCAAUCAAACUUCGUGAUAGCUGGUUCUCUCCGAAAUAUAUUUAGGUAUAGCGUUGUGUCGUAAUAUAAGGGGGUAGAGCACUGAAUGGGCUAGGGCAUACACCAAUGUACCAAACCCUAUCAAACUCCGA